GAGCAGGUGCGAAAGCAGGUCAUAGUGAUCCGGUGGUUCUGAAUGGAAGGGCCAUCGCUCAACGGAUAAAAGGUACUCCGGGGAUAACAGGCUGAUACCGCCCAAGAGUUCAUAUCGACGGCGGUGUUUGGCACCUCGAUGUCGGCUCAUCACAUCCUGGGGCUGAAGUAGGUCCCAAGGGUAUGGCUGUUCGCCAUUUAAAGUGGUACGCGAGCUGGGUUUAGAACGUCGUGAGACAGUUCGGUCCCUAUCUGCCGUGGGCGCUGGAGAACUGAGGGGGGCUGCUCCUAGUACGAGAGGACCGGAGUGGACGCAUCACUGGUGUUCGGGUUGUCAUGCCAAUGGCACUGCCCGGUAGCUAAAUGCGGAAGAGAUAAGUGCUGAAAGCAUCUAAGCACGAAACUUGCCCCGAGAUGAGUUCUCCCUGACUCCUUGAGAGUCCUGAAGGAACGUUGAAGACGACGACGUUGAUAGGCCGGGUGUGUAAGCGCAGCGAUGCGUUGAGCUAACCGGUACUAAUGAACCGUGAGGCUUAACCUUACAACGCCGAAGGUGUUU
rnacentral:rRNA from 1 species